rnacentral:lncRNA from 1 species
GGAAAAACGGUCAUUUUGAGAAAAUGGAGAAGAUUGAUACAGUAUGUUUGUGUCUUGUUUUGUCUUGAAAUGUUGUAUUGUCUUUGUGACGAAAAUAUGGAAGGGGUGAAAAGUAAAUUACUAAGGGAAGAAGGCACCCCAGUGGAACCAAGAAUAGUUAGGGCAUGUGUUGAUGGAAGCCCAGGAACUCUAGUCAGAAAGAAAAAGAAAGUUCAGAGGAGGAAGGAUUAUCAGGAAAAAAGUUGCAGCAAAAGGCUAUUACUGAAUACUUUUCGUUACCAGAGGGUGCGUGAAUCGGUGCAGCCGCUGCCACUUGCAGGAGCCGGUCAUGGCACAGCAAGGGCUUUCCAAGCGGCAGCAACCGGCUCUUCUCCGUCUCCCGCCGGGGGAGCGGGAUGCCACUGCGAGAGCCCAAAUCCAGGCACAGUCUCGCAGGCUCUUGCUCCCUGUGCCUGGAAGCAGUUUGAGACCGGAUUCUCCCCAGGGCCAUCUGGGGCUGCCCAGGACACUACAGCCGGCAGAAGACGGCCCUUGCGUCCCUGAAGUUUGAUCAUUUCCAAGGCCAGUAACUACAAUGGUUCUCCCACACCUGGAAGCUAAUGAAUAAUAAGCACUAUUAAGGCUUAUUUCAAAUGUAAAAAACCUUGAGAUAAUGUACUAAAUUGUUCAGAAGGUUGUUUUCUUAGCACCUGCUGGAAUACUACAGGAUUUUCUUUAACAUCAUUGCCGGAGUUCCUGCCUUCAUCCCAGUGCCGGUGAAAACGAGGGUGGAAGAAUUUCCAGUGUUGCUGAAAACCUGAGGAGACUUCGGAUCAAGCUAGCUGCCUGCAGAAUUUACCUGGACUGUGGUUUAAGCUAGCUGCCUGCAGAACUUACCUGGACUGUGAGUUAAUCUAUUGAGACAGUGCUUUACCUGGACUGAGACAACAAACUGUAAUCUACAACAAAUUGUAACUCAGUAUCUUUGCUAACAGUGUCAUUGCUGGUAUAAUUUUUCCAAGGGCUUCUUGCAUGGAGCCAUCAAUUGGCUUGGUAUUGUGGCAUUUUGUAUCCUCCCCUUCUGCUUGUAGCAGAUUAUUUAUGGUGUUUGUGUAAAAACCACUAUGGUCGUUAUUUAAAUUAAACAAAAGGGGGAAUUGUUAGAGUCUGUAAACAAGUCUGGAUGGCGCCUGGCAAAAUGCCAGAGGGAGUGGUUUGUGAAGUAACACCAGAGAGCCAUUAAGUGUGGAGAUUUCUUAUUGGUUGACUGAUGUAUCUAGUUUAUGCUAAUUAAGAUAAGCUGUGUGGAAUGUAUAAAUACCUCUGUUGUCCUACAAUAAACGGCUCCCACUCCUGCUGUAUCAAUCUACACAAGUCGUUGGUCACCCCACCCCCGUUAUUUGCUGCAGCCAGACUGCGGCAGUUUUUUUUUUUUGGGGGGGGGUCCAGGGAUUGAACUUGGGGCACUCGAC